rnacentral:rRNA from 1 species
UGCAGUCGAGCGGACAGAUGGGAGCUUGCUCCCUGAUGUUAGCGGCGGACGGGUGAGUAACUCGUGGGUAACCUGCCUGUAAGACUGGGAUAACUCCGGGAAACCGGGGCUAAUACCGGAUGGUUGUUUGAACCGCAUGGUUCAAACAUAAAAGGUGGCUUCGGCUACCACUUACAGAUGGACCCGCGGCGCAUUAGCUAGUUGGUGAGGUAAUGGCUCACCAAGGCAACGAUGCGUAGCCGACCUGAGAGGGUGAUCGGCCACACUGGGACUGAGACACGGCCCAGACUCCUACGGGAGGCAGCAGUAGGGAAUCUUCCGCAAUGGACGAAAGUCUGACGGAGCAACGCCGCGUGAGUGAUGAAGGUUUUCGGAUCGUAAAGCUCUGUUGUUAGGGAAGAACAAGUACCGUUCGAAUAGGGCGGUACCUUGACGGUACCUAACCAGAAAGCCACGGCUAACUACGUGCCAGCAGCCGCGGUAAUACGUAGGUGGCAAGCGUUGUCCGGAAUUAUU